UAGCCAUGCAGUGCUGAGCCUCGGGCCUCUGAGCUCAGUGGUGGCAUGCAUACAGCCGAGUCAGAAAAGAGCAUCAGCUUCAUCUGCUCCAUCCCUUGUGUUCCCAGGGACAGUGUGGACAUAGCCUGAAUCCAAAUAAAAGCAUGCUGCUGAGGUUUUGGGAAUGAUAACAUAUCACUUCUCCAUCUGAAGAAAUUUUUAGCAGACCACCUCUCAACCACAACCUGGUGUGUAAUACCACAGAAUAAAUCUACUUAAUGAAAACAUGCUGAGCUGGAGACAGUCCUCAGAGAGCAGAAAAGGCAUGGUUCAGGCAGGUUGUAUCCUGUGGAUUCCCACUGUCUGUGAUUUGACAAGCUGUGGCUCUUGUUGAAGAGACCUCUUCAAAGGAAGCAGCAAAUUUCUCAUCUUCAGGUGCAGAAGCAACACAAAACCAAUUCUAGAACAAGAAGAAAAAAAGUCAGAUACAGAAAUGAGGUCACUGAGCUGGUUCCAGCAUCUCUUUACAUCUCAGCAAUGUGGCCACAGAAGAUUAAGCACCAAAUCAUACUGCAUAAUUCUUUACCAGUGUCACCUUAUCAUUCUAUUAAUUCAUAGUAUGAGAGAUAAUUUUAAACGAAUUUCUGUUUCAGCUUUUGUGCA